rnacentral:rRNA from 1 species
GACAGAGGUGGCAAGCGUUGUUCGGAAUUACUGGGCGUAAAGGGCGCGCAGGCGGUUCGUCAAGUCCCGUGUGAAAUCCCCCGGCUCAACUGGGGAACUGCGCGGGAAACUAGCGGGCUUGAGUUCGGGAGAGGAAAGCGGAAUUCCGGGUGUAGCGGUGAAAUGCGCAGAUAUCCGGAGGAACACCAGUGGCGAAGGCGGCUUUCUGGACCGACACUGACGCUGAGGCGCGAAAGCUAGGGGAGCGAACGGGAUUAGAUACCCGCGUA